rnacentral:misc_RNA from 1 species
GAUGAAGAACGUAGCGAAAUGCGAUAAGUAAUGUGAAUUGCAAAAUUCAGUGAAUCAUCGAAUCUUUGAACGCACAUUGCGCCCCUUGGUAUUCCGAGGGGCAUGCCUGUUCGAGCGUCAUUAUAACCCCUCAAGCUCAGCUUGGUGUUGGGGCCUGCUGCACUGGCAGCCCAUAAAAUCAGUGGCGGCGCCAUCUGGCUCUAAGCGUAGUAAUUCUUCUCGCUAUGGAGUCCUGGUGGAUGCUUGCCAUCAACCCCCAAUUUUUCUAUGGUUGACCUCGGAUCAGGUAGGGAUACCCGCUGAACUUAAGCAUAUCAAUAAGCGGAGGA